AGAGUUGAUUCUGGCUCAGGAUGAACGCUGGCGGCGUGCCUAACACAUGCAAGUCGAACGGAAACAUGACGCUCGGAGGCUUCGGCCAAUGUUGUUUGUUUAGUGGCGGACGGGUGAGUAACGCGUGGAUAACCUGCCAUAUACAGGGGGAUAACAGUUAGAAAUGACUGCUAAUACCGCAUAAGCGCACGGAACCGCAUGAUUCUGUGUGAAAAAACUCCGGUGGUAUAUGAUGGAUCCGCGUCUGAUUAGCCAGUUGGCGGGGUAACGGCCCACCAAAGCGACGAUCAGUAGCCGGCCUGAGAGGGUGAACGGCCACAUUGGGACUGAGACACGGCCCAAACUCCUACGGGAGGCAGCAGUGGGGGAUAUUGCACAAUGGGGGAAACCCUGAUGCAAGCGACGCCGCGUGAGUGAAGAAGUAUUUCGGUAUGUAAAGCUCUAUCAGCAGGGAAGAUAAUGACGGUACCUGACUAAGAAGCACCGGCUAAAUACGUGCCAGCCGCCGC
rnacentral:rRNA from 1 species